rnacentral:lncRNA from 1 species
AUAAUCCAUUAUGUUGGCCCUUUUUUAAUUUGGCUUUGAUGGUGAAUGUAUUCCUUGUAAAACCUAGGUUAGAACUAUGCAUGCUGCUGCAACAUGAAGCCAUCUUUGAAACAGAAACUAACCAUGAUUCUCUUUCCUGCUGUCCUCUUCUCCUCUACCAGAAGAUAACAGUGGAGAAGUUGCCUGAUCCACCACAGAUGACCAUGCUGCUGAAUCGCUACAGUACAGAUCCUCAGUAUCAGCAACUCUUCAUCAAUCUGGAGCCGUACAUAAACAAAUCAGCGGUGUCAGUUCAGGCUCAUUUCUCUCUGCAACGCACAUACAUCAUCUUUCGGACCUUGGGCCUUCGCCACCUGACAGUUGUUGACCUACAGAACCGAGUUGUUGGAAUAAUAACCAGGAAAGAUCUGAUGUCUUUCCAGCUGGAGAAGAGGCUGGCACAUCAGCUGGCAUCGCAGAAACGUGACUCAGAUGAGCAGCCCUUAGAUUAGGAAAAGAGAACAGAACUGUGAAUGUUUUAUUUCUUAAGAUUUGUCACUUUAAUUUUUUUUUUAAUAAGCCUGCAUUCUUCUUAGGUAAGGGAAAAAAUGGAUAUGACUGUGCUGUUAGAUUCCUUUAGAGCAGGGAAGUUCAAAAGGCAUCCUCCCUGGGCCCUUAAAUGUAUCCUACCACUAGCUCCCUCGAACCAUAGGAUGAUGGCAAAGUUCAUUGACUGCAGAUUUGACAGGGCACUGGGUUAGAUGGACCAUUGGUCUGACCCAGUAUGGCUGUUCUUAUGUAUGUUCUGAUAUUUUUAAGGCUUGUGAACUAAAUCAGAAUUUUUCUACUCAUCUACCAUGGAAGGCAUAAGUACAAGUAGAUACGAAGGUUGAGGUUAAAAUGUCCCAAAGCGUCUAUUUUCAAAAGUGACAUAGUCAUUUAGCGGCCUAAGUCCUGCUGAUUUUCAUUGAGACUUAGGCUUUGUCAACACUUAAAGUUGCACUUCUAUAACUAGGCUGGCAUUCUAUGCAUCUGAAGAAGUGAGCUGAAGCUCACGAAAGCUCAUGCUGAAAGAAAUUUGUUAGUCUCUAAGGUGCCACAAGUACUCCUGUUCUUUUUGCAGAUACAGGCUAAGGCCACGUCAACACUACAGCAUAAAAUCGAAAUUAUUAAAACCGGUUUUAUAAAACUGGUUUUAUAAAAUUGAUUUUAUGCGUCCACACUAGGGCACAUUAAUUCGGUGGUGUGCGUCCUAGGCUACCAUCGAUUUCCGGAGUGGUGCACUCUGGGUAGCUCAGUAAAAGAAUGAGACCAAUAACUUCGAUUUCCGUCCACACUAACCCUAAAUCGAUAUAGUAAUAUCGAUUUUAGGGUUACUCCUCUCGUUGGGGAGGAGUACAGAAAUCGAUUUUAAGAGCCCUUAAAAUCAAUUUAAAGUGCCUUGUAGUGUGGACGGGUACAGCGUUAAAUCGAUUUAAUGCUGUUUAAAUCGAUUUAACGCUGUAGUGUGGA